GCCGAGCUUAAGAAACAACUUGAUGAGUCCUUGCAAAAAGGUUUCAUCCGUCCUAGUUCUUCUCCUUGGGCUUGCCCCGUCCUCUUCGUCAAGAAGAAGGAUGGUACGGACCGGAUGGUUGUAGAUUAUCGUCCCGUUAAUUUGGUCACGAUAAAGAACAAAUAUCCGCUCCCCAGGAUCAACGAUCUGUAUGAUCAGCUCGCUGGAUCCUCAAUCUUUUCCAAGAUGGAUUUGAGGUUAGGAUACCACCAAAUUAAGAUCAGAAACGGGGACAUUCCCAAGACAGCUUUUGUCACUCGUUAUGGCCAGUAUGAGUACACCGUCAUGUCCUUUGGCCUAACCAACGCCCCAGCCACAUUCUCCCGCUUGAUGAACUCGAUCUUCAUGGAGUACUUAGAUAAGUUCGUCGUGGUUUACCUCGAUGAUAUUCUUAUUUACUCGAAGAACGAGGAAGAGCAUGCCGAACAUCUUAGACUUGUAUUAGAAAAACUCAGAGAGCACCGCCUUUAUGCCAAGUUCUCCAAGUGUGAAUUUUGGUUGCCAGAAGUGACCUACCUAGGCCACGUAAUCUCUGGUAAGGGCAUUGCUGUCAACCCCGAGAGAGUUAAAGCCGUUCUUGAUUGGACUCCACCUGAGACCGUUAAACAAGUUAGGAGUUUCCUUGGGCUAGCCAGCUAUUGUCGCCGCUUUGUUGAAAACUUCUCCAAAGUAGCCAAACCCCUCACGGAACUUCUCAAGAAAGAUAAAAAGUUCGAGUGGUCCCCACAGUGUGAGUACAGUUUUCAGGAACUGAAAAUACGCCUGACUUCUGCUCCCAUACUUGUGCCACCGGAUUUCACUAAAGACUUUAUUAUCUACUGCGACGCCUCACGACAGGGACUAGGUUGCAUUCUUAUGCAGGAUCGUCAUGUGAUUGCCUAUGCAUCUCGACAGUUGCAUUCACAUGAGGAGAAUUAUCCUACACAUGAUCUAGAGCUUGCAGCCGUAGUCUAUGCACUCAAGACCUGGAGACAUUACCUUCUUGGUAAACGUUGUGAGAUCUACACCGAUCACCAGAGUCUCAAGUAUAUCUUCACCCAACCAGAUCUGAACCUUAGGCAAAGACGUUGGUUGGAGUUAAUCACAGAUUAUGAUCUAGGGAUUACCUACACCCCAGGCAAAGCCAAUGUCAUGGCUGAUGCGCUAAGCCGUAAAACCUAUUGCAACAAUCUCAUGUUGCAGCAAGGACAACCACUUCUCCAUGAGGAAUUCUGUAAGCUUAAUCUUCACAUUGCUCCUCACGGAUUCCUUUCUACCUUGGUGGCGAAACCUGAUCUUGAAGAUCGGAUUGUCGCUGCUCAAAAGCAAGACACAGGAAUUUCUCGGAUCAAGAGAAACAUUAAGAAGGGAGUUGGUGGAUGUUUCUCUAUGGAUGAUCGUGGUGUUGUUUUCCUUGAGAAUCGCUUGGUGGUUCCCAAGAAUCAACAUCUGCGACAAUUGAUUCUUAAGGAGGCGCAUGAAUCUCCUCUCACGAUUCAUCCCGGUAGUACUAAGAUGUAUCAUGACCUACGCCAGAGGUUCUGG
rnacentral:rRNA from 1 species